CGACUGUGGGUUCAGAUGUGCUCAGGGUGAGAGCUGACGAUGCAGAUGUGUCUCCAGAAAACAACAGAAUUACAUAUUCUAUACUGCCUCCAGCACCAGAUGAGUUUGAAGUGAGACAGGACGGUAACAUCAGGUUGAAACAGCGUCUGAACUACAACAACGCUCAACAGUACAUCUUCACUGUGGAAGCGAGAGAUAAAGGAGGAUUCAGUGACACAACAACAGUUACAAUAACGGUUGAAGAUUUUGACAAUCUAAACCCUUAUUUUGAUCACACUCUCUAUAAAGCAUCUAUUGAGG